AAUGGCAAGGCAAAACACCAUCUGUAAACCAAAUUAUUGCUCAAUAUACAAGUGAUAAAUUCAAAAACCAAAGGCCAACAGAAGAAGAUUUUCUCACCAACUUUUUGGUAGUUGCUGUGAAUUGUUUGAUGAAGUGUAUUUCAAACAACCAAUGCCAUUUCAAGUUUCUGUUUUCUAUGAUGGACAAAGAAAAAAUAAAAAACUUGAAUUGGUGUCAGUACGUGUUUGACUCUCUCAUCAGUUGCCAUGUGACAUGGAGAAAGAGUGGAGGAAAAGGAUUCUACAAUGGACCACUGCAAUUUCUGAUGGUAAGUUUACAACACACAAUAGUAAAUUAUAAAAUGUUCAUUUUAGUAACAAUGAAUGUUCAUUAACAAAAUGUUAAAUAUCGAUUUCGUCUAAAAUUUUAAUCUUUUAUAUUAAUUGUUCAUUUGUAUUAUAUUAUAUGUUCAUUUAUAGUAAUGGGUUUUGGUGCAGCUGUUCUACUUUGACAGAGUUCAAAGAUUGAACAAAAAACAACCAAGAACAAUUCCAAUAAUUUCUUGUUGGAAAAGGGAUAUGUCACUUGAAAGGAUAAAAACAGAAAAUGAUUUGAACUAUGGAUAUGGAAAAGUCCUUCCAAGAAUAGAAGAAAAGCCUGAAGACAAUCCUAAGGUCUUUAUGAAUGAAUUUGCAUCAAUGGUACAAGAAGUUGGUGCAUCUUUGGCAAGACUUUCUACCAAAUUGGUUAAGGCAAAAGAGCUCUUCCCUGGGAAUCAGUUGGUCAAGAAGGUAGAUGAAGUGUUGGGAAAGAUGGCAAGAGAACCAUCAAUUCUCAGCCAAGAUGAAGAAAUAUUUGGAUCAGAGGAUUUUUUGAAUGCCAUAGCACAAAUUGAGAAGGAACUGAUGGAGGCAAGUGAAGUAGAAAAAAAAGAAAAUAGGAAAUGAGAAGGAAUAUGAUAUAAGGAAGGCAUUCAGUUUGGGUUGCAACUUAACUCCCCCAACUCCAACAACUGAAGCACAUAUUAAUGUUGCAGCCACAACUUCAACAACAACUGAUGCAAAUGUUUCUUCUAAGCCAGAAGAGGGUAAAGCUUUAAUAUCUAUGUACAAUUAUGAAAAGUAUAAUGUUCAUUUAUAAAAUAAUAAGUUUGUUUAGUCUAAAUAUUCAAAAAAGUAUAUAUUCAGAAUAACAAAUGUUCAUUUACAUUAACAAUUUCAUAUAUUUUAAAUCAACAGAAAGAGUUGGAGGUUCAAAUUCUGAAGAACCACAAGAUGGAGGAAAUUCAAAAAAAGGUAAAAAGUUCACUUAUAUAGUAUUAAAU